UACGUAGGGUCCGAGCGUUAUCCGGUAUUAUUGGGCGUAAAGAGUACGUAGGCGGUCUUUCAAGACAAUGGUUAAAUCUCCGGGCUUAACCCGGAACCAGCCGUUGUGACUGUAAGACUAGUCGAUAGCAGGGGCAAGCAGAAUUCUCGGUGUAGGAGUGAAAUCCGUUGAGAUCGAGAAGAAUACCAAUGGCGAAGGCAGCUUGCUAGGCUAUAUGAGACGCUGAGGUACGAAAGCGUGGGGAGCGAACGGG
rnacentral:rRNA from 1 species